GCCAGCAUGGUAUAGUGGUUUGAGUGUUGGACUGCAACUCUGAAGACCAGGGUCUGAAUCCCUGCUCAGCCA